AUGAGUGAGAGCAGUGACAGAGGGUGCAGCAGUUCCAGUUCCCUUCACACAGAUCUCUCCAACCUUGUGAUCUGGGCACACACUCAUGGCACCAUAUGCAACCAGAUCCCAGGCCUGGAAUUCAUGGAGAACGCAGAUCAUGAUGUGAGCAGUGACAACGCUGUGCUGUGGAUGUGCAGAGCUGGACAUGCCUACCACUGGCACUGUGGGAAGUCACACAACACAGGUGAAGAAGCGCCUGAGGCUCUAGGAGGGAGAAAGAGGCUCUUGCCUUCUGAAUCUUUGGCAAGGGAAUCCAGCUUUAAAGAAAAGAGGCUCAGGCUGGCCCCAUCAUCUUUUGAGAUGGACCAAGAAGAUUCUGGGAGCACAGAGUCAUGUGGCAGAUCCCAAGGGGUCGCUGAGCAGAAGGCUGGCAGUCCCUACACAAGGAAUAAGGAGCCCAAGGGGAGUCAAAAUAGCAGGAAACACAAAUUCUCUGCAGCAGAGCAGCACUUCUCUGAGUCUGGUAGUAGAGUCCAGACUGGUGAGCAGCAUGUGAAGUCCAAAACGUACAAAGAUGCAGAGAUCAUUAUCUCUGAUGACGAGCAGUGUGAGGCAGAUGAAGACAGCAAAGGAGACAGAACCAGCCAGGAUAAUGUGUCAGAGCCAUCUGCUGAGAAGUUGCAGAUGCAACACUGCCAGAAGAUGGCAUUGCACCAGCCAACAGCCUCCCCAAAAACUGCCUUUGCCCCCACAGCAAAGCCAUCCCUGGCCCGUGCCUACAUUCUGCCGGCUCAUGUCAGCAGCUCAGAGGAUCUGAACAGGAACAUCCUGAGGCUGGCUCCUUCCACUGCUGCAGGGCCCGUGGCUGAAACUUCCAGAGCAAGGAGCCUCCCGGGGUCAGCAGCACCAAAGAUGCGCUGAAGAAGCAGGAGAAAAAGAAAAGCAAUACCAUGGGACACAUAAAAGUGUUUGAAGAGUGGCUGAAGGGGCACUACCCCUCCGAGACACGCGAGAUCCACAGGCUGCCUCCCGCAGACCUCGACCAGUACCUGGUGUCCUUCUUCAGCUGUACCAAAAAACAGAAUGGCAAGGAGUUUUCUGCCAGUUCCUUAAACAUCUUCAGGUACAGCAUCAACAGGUACCUCCAGGAGCACCACUACCAGUACAGCAUAUUGAGAGGGCCAGAGUUCAAGGCCUCUCAGGAAGCCUAUAAAUUAAAAUAUCGGCACUUGUUUCAAACCAAGGAGUUACAGUGCAAUGCUGUGGAGAGCCUGACAAGUGAAGAUGUGGAAAAUCUUCUUAAGAAGGGAAUUUUAAGCAAGACAAACCCUCAGGGCUUGUUGUACCUCAUGUUCACCAACCUCAUUAGGGGGUUUGGGGCAAAGACCCACUACCAGGCCCACCAGCUGUGUUGGGGACAGGUGGUGCUGAGGAAGAGCAGAGGGGUGGAGUACUUGGAGUGGAAGGAUGAUCUGAGCCCCGAGGGAAAUGAAGGGGAGCCAAACCCACUGCUCUUUGCCAAGCCUGAGGAUCCAGAGAACUGCCCGGUCUCCAGUUACAAGGAGUAUGCCAGGAGGAGGCCAGCAGACAUGCUGGAUGACACCCACCCUCUUUACCUGUCUCCCGUGCCACUGUACUCUGUCUGGGACAAAGUGUGGUACAUCAGAAAGCCACUGUCAAAAGCCAAAAUUAAUAAUAUCUUGAAAGUUAUUAUGCAGGAAGUCAGAGGAGCAGUAAAGAAGACCAGGAAAUAGGGGUGUCCCUUCAGCUUUGCCCUUCAACCACUCCAAGGCUGCUCUGAAACACAAUCCUACUGCAAUAUUUGGUGUAGGUUGAGAGCAGACAUCCUUCUGCUGAGCUUCACCUUGGCACUGAAGGUACCUACACAUCUGCAGUGCCUUGGCUUUCAGGGAAGUUCUUUUAUUGUUGUUUCUGUUACUGGAAUUGAUAAUUCAGUGAGUUAAUGAGAGUCUUCAGUUUCACAUUUGCCAAACGAGUUAAUGUUCUACCACAUUGUCAAUGCUGUUAGAAACCACCACUGCUGACACACAGAGGGCUUGGGGGUGGCAGGGCCUGGCCAGGAGUGCCAGCUGCACCCACAUUUUAAGGUGACACCCCACAAGCUCAGCCUGUGGGGAAGGAUGAGCAGCAGGACAAUGAUGGUGCUGCCAAUCCCAACCGUGCAGGAACACUUCUGGCAAGGUUCAGGUAAUUUCCCUUAGGGAAAGAUUUGUAGAUUGAAGAAGUUGUGGCUGUUCUAAGAAGUUAUUUAAAGUGUCUGACAAUGUUGAAAGGUUUUAUGGUAAGUGGUUUCCCUGGAGUGCAAAACACAGCUCCACAAAGGCACUGGGAGGUGUGCUCAGCUCCGCUCACUGCCCCAGCUCAGGCAGGUUUUUGGUUGCAUUGUUGGCCGAGCCAAAUAAAAGAGCCUUUAAUUCAGUCCUGUCUGUCUGU
rnacentral:lncRNA from 1 species